AUUGAACGCUGGCGGCAGGCCUAACACAUGCAAGUCGAACGAACCCUUCGGGGUUAGUGGCGGACGGGUGAGUAACACGUGGGAACGUGCCUUUAGGUUCGGAAUAACUCAGGGAAACUUGUGCUAAUACCGAAUGUGCCCUUCGGGGGAAAGAUUUAUCGCCUUUAGAGCGGCCCGCGUCUGAUUAGCUAGUUGGUGAGGUAAUGGCUCACCAAGGCUACGAUCAGUAGCUGGUCUGAGAGGAUGACCAGCCACAUUGGGGAUGAGACACGGCCCAAACUCCUACGGGAGGCAGCAGUGGGGAAUCUUGCGCAAUGGGCGAAAGCCUGACGCAGCCAUGCCGCGUGGAUGAUGAAGGUCUUAGGAUUGUAAAAUCCUUUCACCGGUGAAGAUAAUGACUGUAGCCGGAGAAGAAGCCCCGGCUAACUUCGUGCCAGCCGCCGCUGUAACAC
rnacentral:rRNA from 1 species